rnacentral:tRNA from 1 species
GACCGCGUAGCUCAGUUGGCAGAGCAUUUGGGCUAGUAUUCCAAAGGUCGUAGGUUCGAUUGCCACCGUGGCCG